GACGAACGCUGGCGGCGUGCCUAAUACAUGCAAGUCGAGCGAAUCGAUGGGAGCUUGCUCCCUGAGAUUAGCGGCGGACGGGUGAGUAACACGUGGGUAACCUGCCUGUAAGACUGGGAUAACUUCGGGAAACCGGAGCUAAUACCGGAUAGUUUCUUUUCUCGCAUGAGGAGAGAUGGAAAGAUGGUUCUGCUAUCACUUACAGAUGGACCCGCGGCGCAUUAGCUAGUUGGUGAGGUAACGGCUCACCAAGGCAACGAUGCGUAGCCGACCUGAGAGGGUGAUCGGCCACACUGGGACUGAGACACGGCCCAGACUCCUACGGGAGGAAGCAGUAGGGAAUCUUCCGCAAUGGACGAAAGUCUGACGGAGCAACGCCGCGUGAGCGAAGAAGGCCUUCGGGUCGUAAAGCUCUGUUGUUAGGGAAGAACAAGUACGAGAGUAACUGCUCGUACCUUGACGGUACCUAACCAGAAAGCCACGGCUAACUACGUGCCAGCCGCCGCGGUAA
rnacentral:rRNA from 1 species